CCUACGGGUGGCAGCAGUGGGGGAUAUUGCACAAUGGGGGAAACCCUGAUGCAGCGACGCCGCGUGGGUGAAGAAGCGCCUCGGCGCGUAAAGCCCUGUCAGCAGGGAAGAAAAUGACGGUACCUGAAGAAGAAGCCCCGGCUAACUACGUGCCAGCAGCCGCGGGAAUACGUAGGGGGCAAGCGUUAUCCGGAUUUACUGGGUGUAAAGGGGGCGCAGACGGCGAUGCAAGCCAGGAGUGAAAGCCCGGGGCCCAACCCCGGGACUGCUCUUGGAACUGCGUGGCUAGAGUGCAGGAGGGGCAGGCGGAAUUCCUGGUGUAGCGGUGAAAUGCGUAGAUAGCAGGAGGAACACCAGUGGCGAAGGCGGCCUGCUGGACAUUAACUGACGCUGAGGCGCGAAAGCGUGGGGAGCAAACAGGAUUAGAUACCCCAGUAGUC
rnacentral:rRNA from 1 species